rnacentral:rRNA from 1 species
AUUGAACGCUGGCGGCAGGCCUAACACAUGCAAGUCGAGCGAGCGGCGGACGGGUGAGUAAUGGAGGGGGAUCUGGCCGGUAGAGGGGGAUAACCACUGGAAAAGGUGGAUAAUGCCGCAUACUAUGGGAUGACCCAUAUGGGAUUAGCUAGUAGGUGGGGUAAAGGCUCACCAAGGUGACGAGCUCUACCUGGUCUGAGAGGACGAUCAGCCACACUGAGACUGAGACACGACCCAGACUCCAACGGGAGGCAGCAGUGGGGAAUCUUGAACAAUAGGAGGAAGCCUGAUGCAGCCAUGCCGAGUGUAUGAAGAAGGCCUUCGGAUUGUAAAGUACUUUCAGCGGGGAGGCGUUACCCGCAGAAAAAGCACCGGAUAACUACGUGCCAGCAGCCGCGGUAAUUC